rnacentral:lncRNA from 1 species
GGGGAUUCUGAACGUCGGGGAAUAGGUCGCGGUUGACCAGAGAACCGUGGCCUAUUCCUUGAUCUGAGUAAAUUUUAAAAAAAUGAGAGAAUAUACCGCGGUUGGGCGCCCAACCGUGGCAUAUAGUUUAAAAAAAAUUUCAAAAAUGCCAUUAUGAAUUAUUUUUUUAAAUGAAUAGGCUGCGGUACAGUUUUUUGAAGGUUAAAAAAAAAAAACAAAACUUGGUACAGUUUUCUUCUUCACGCGAACCUAAAAAACUUUCGUCUCCGUCUCCGCCGCGAGCUGCGACCUUUCUUCCGUCAUUGCGCUAGCAUUCCUCCGACCGCCAUUCUUCUCCACCGCCCCUGCUUCUCCGCCGCACCUUUGCUUUUCCGCUGCGCCGUUCUUCUCCUGCGAGCUAACCAACCUGGUUUGAUUUCUCCUGCUCCCUUCUUAUGCGAUUCCUUUUAAAUGUAAAAAGGUUUUGUUUUUUGUUGGUGAUUUUG